rnacentral:rRNA from 1 species
UAACGCGUAAUCAACCUGCCCUACAAUGGGGGACAACAGUUGGAAACGACUGCUAAUACCGCAUACGACCUACGGUUGGCAUCAAUCGUAGGUGAAAGGUGGCCUCUACAUGUAAGCUAUCGUUGUAGGAGGGGAUUGCGUCUGAUUAGCUAGUUGGAGGGGUAACGGCCCACCAAGGCGAUGAUAAGUAGCCGGUCUGAGAGGAUGAACGGCCACAUUGGGACUGAGACACGGCCCAAACUCCUACGGGAGGCAGCAGCC